ACCUGUAUCUUUUAUUUUUAUUUUAUAAUUAUGUUUUUGUAAUAAUCUAUUUAGAAAUAGUAAUAAUCAUUUAUUGCACUUUAACAGAAGAACACCUUUAUACUGUGCCAGCCACGAGGGUCACAUUAAUUGUACAUCUGUUUUACUUGCAAAUGGUGCUAAUCCUAAUGUUGCCGACAAUGAAGGUAAAAUCCCUCUUCAUGUUGCUUGUUUGAAUGGCUGUCUGGAUGUUGUGAGAUUAUUAUGUGAAUAUGGUGUUCAUGUUAAUUGCAUGGCUGCAGUAAAUAAAAGAUGCACUCCACUGGAUUAUGCAUUGAAAUCAGAACAGACGGAAAUAGCACAGAUUCUUAUAGAGUCGGGAGGCCUGACGUCUUUGGAUAUCGAAACGAUUGCUGCCGCCGUGAUUCAGGUACAAAAAAGUUUAAUAUGUAAUAUUGUAAUUAUGAUCAUUGAUUUUUUAUUAUAAUUUGAUUUUAUAUUACACUUGAAUGAAGUAAAUAUCAUUGUAAGAAAUUAAUAAAUGAUGAUAAAAUAUUCUGAAGUCGGCAUGGCAAUUGAUCUCUAUGUUUAUAAAUUGAUAUAUUGUGGAAGCAAACAUUGGGAACUCUUGGUUCUGUAACUGGUGAUGUAUACGCACAGUAGGCAGAAUUUUGGGUUUGAAUUUCACUCCAAGCUAAUCUUUAUAUUCAUAAUCUAGUAAAUUAUUUAGUUUGAUUGAAAAUGUAUUUACAAUUAGUAAGUACAAGAUGAUGGACUAAUCACCUACCUUUAGGCAAAAUUACACCAUUUAAUCAUUUAAUUGUUACCUUAGUUAUAGCCUGAAAAUUUGGAAUGUAGUUAUUUAGAUAUGAAAAUAAUAUCCAGUGAUUAUAUAUUCUUUGUAUGUGUUUAUAUAUAUAUUAGCAUUAUUCAAUUACUUUAUCUGUAGUCAAUAGAUAUACAUAUAUAACAUAACUACAAAAACCCUAAUUUGAUAGUGAGGCAUAAAUUUAAA